rnacentral:rRNA from 1 species
GAGUUUGAUCCUGGCUCAGGAUGAACGCUGGCGGCGUGCUUAACACAUGCAAGUCGAGCGAAGCAUUUAAGACGAUCUCUUCGGAUUGAGUCUUAUAUGACUGAGCGGCGGACGGGUGAGUAACGCGUGGGUAACCUGCCUCAUACAGGGGGAUAACAGUUAGAAAUGACUGCUAAUACCGCAUAAGCGCACAGGGCUGCAUGGCCUGGUGUGAAAAACUCCGGUGGUAUGAGAUGGACCCGCGUCUGAUUAGCUAGUUGGAGGGGUAACGGCCCACCAAGGCGACGAUCAGUAGCCGGCCUGAGAGGGUGAACGGCCACAUUGGGACUGAGACACGGCCCAGACUCCUACGGGAGGCAGCAGUGGGGAAUAUUGCACAAUGGGGGAAACCCUGAUGCAGCGACGCCGCGUGAAGGAAGAAGUAUCUCGGUAUGUAAACUUCUAUCAGCAGGGAAGAAAAUGACGGUACCU